UAGAAGUUUUUUCUAGCUUUUUUUUAUUAUAAUAUUGAAUUUUAUAUGUAAAUUUUAGUGAAAAUAAGUAUUAAUUUUAAAUAAAUUAAUAGGUUAAAAUUAUUCGCAGUAAAAAAUUUUAUUUAAUUUAAUUAGUUAAGAAAUAUUUAAGAUAUUUAGUAUUAACAAAAUUUGUGCCAGCAGUUGCGGUUACACAGAUAAUACAAUAAUAAAAUUAUUGGUGGGUAAUUAGAAAAAAAUAUAAAUUUAAAUUUAAAUUUAUUAGGUGAAAUUUUAAAUUUAAUUUAAAUUUUUUAUUAGUUUUUGAAGUUAAGUAAUUUUUAAAAGAAACUAGGAUUAGAUACCCUAUUAUUUUUAAAGUAAUUUAUAAAACCUAAUUAGUAAUAGUUAAGUUCUUGAAAAUUAAAGAAUUUGGCGGUAUUUUAGUCUAUUCAGAGGAAUCUGUCCUAUAAUUGAUAAUCCACGAUUUUUUAUACCUAUUUUAUUAAUUUACAUAUCGCCGUAGUUUGAAUAUUUUUUGAAAGUUAUAAUAUUCAUAAUUUAUUUUUAUAAAAAAAAUCAGGUCAAGGUGUAGUUUAUGAAUGGGAAGAGAUGGGUUACAAUAAAAAUAUUUAUAUAUGGAUUAAUAAAUUAAAUUUUUUUAUGAAGGUGGAUUUGAUAGUAAUUUUAUUUAUUUUAAUAUUGUGAUUUUAGCUCUAAAAUAUGUACAUAUCGCCCGUCGCUUUCACUAUAAAGUGAAAUAAGUCGUAACAGAGUAGGGGUACUGGAAAGUGUUCCUAGAAAG
rnacentral:ncRNA from 1 species